GACUGCGNCCGAUCAGNUNNUGNUGGGGUNACNGCCUACCANGCCNAUNACCGGUACGGGCCCUGAGAGGGGGAGCCNGGAGAUGGNNACUGAGACNAGGUCCCAGGUCCUACGGGGCGCAGCAGGCGCGAAAACUCCACAAUGCGCGAAUGCGUGAUGGGGUUAUCCCGAGUGCCGUCCGAUGAGGAUGGCUUUUCUUUAGUUUAAGGAUCUAGAGGAAUAAAGGGGGGGCAAGACUGGUGUCAGCCGCCGCGGUAAUACCAGCCCCCUGAGUGGUAGGGACGAUUAUUUGGCCUAAAGCGUCCGUAGCCGGCUUAGUUAGUCUUUCGUCAAAUCCGACGAUUCCAUCGUUGGCCCGCGGAAGAUACUGCUAGGCUUGAGGACGGGAGAGGUCGACGGUAGUCCCAGGGUAGGGGUGAAAUCCUAUAAUCCUGGGAGGACCACCAGUGGCGAAGGCGGUCGACUAGAACGUGCCUGACGGUGAUGGACGAAAGCUGGGGGAGCGAACCGGAUUAGACACCCGGGUAGUCCCAGCUGUAAACGAUGCGAGCUAGGUGUUGGAGCAACUACGGGUUGCUCCAGUGCCGCAGAGAAGUUGUUAAGCUCGCCGCCUGGGAAGUACGGCCGCAAGGCUGAAACUUAAAGGAAUUGGCGGGGGAGCAC
rnacentral:rRNA from 1 species